AGUUAAAUAUUUUAUUUAUUAAAAUCUUAAAUUGCAAAUUUAAUGAAUCAUUAAAAUGAUUUAACUU
rnacentral:tRNA from 1 species